rnacentral:misc_RNA from 1 species
UCUUCAUCCUCAUAGAUUGUUUUUGCUGCUGUCACUGGCCCAUAAACAUUUUUCAUCACACCACUGAAAUCAUGCAACCAUUGUGGCUCACUUGGGUGAAGUUCUAUAACUGCCAUUCGAUCAGAGGGAGGAUUAACAGCCAAAUAACAAUCAUCAUCCCUUCCAUGUGGGAAAAACUCCUUCCUCCUUUUGCUGCUGACAGGCGAUAGGUCCAUCACAUCACCAUUGCUAUGACUGGAUGGCUGAGUUGACAAAUUAAGCCCAGACCCAUUAAGCAGCUUCUUUGAGUGGGAAUUUGCGGCACUCUUUAUUGGAGGAGUUGGCCUCUCAAGCUCGAAAUCUGUAUUUGGAAGGUUUCUCCAAGAACUGAAAUCGCCUGCUUCGGGUGGGAUUGUGAAGUUGAAAUCCCUGCCUGUGAGUUCCAUCCAUCU